rnacentral:rRNA from 1 species
UGCCAGCAGCCGCGGUAAUUCCAGCUCCAAUAGCGUAUAUUAAAGUUGUUGCAGUUAAAAGACUCGUAGUUGAAUUUCGGGGUCAGUAAGUUGGUCGUGCCACUGGUAUGCACUGGCUUUACUGACUCCUCCUUCUUGAAGAACUGUGAUGCCAUUAAUUUGGUGUUGCAGGGAAACAGGACUGUUACUUUGAAAAAUUAGAGUGUUUAAAGCAGGCUAACGCUUGAAUACAUUAGCAUGGAAUAAUGAAAUAGGACGUUUGACCCUAUUUUGUUGGUUUCUAGGAUUGACGUAAUGAUUAAUAGGGAUAGUUGGGGGCAUUAGUAUUCAAUUGUCAGAGGUGAAAUUCUUGGAUUUAUUGAAGACUAACUACUGCGAAAGCAUUUGCCAAGGAUGUUUUCAUUAAUCAAGAACGAAAGUUAGGGGAUCGAAGACGAUCAGAUACCGUCGUAGUCUUAACCAUAAACUAUGCCGACUAGGGAUCGGAUGAUGUUAAUUUUUUAAUGACUCAUUCGGCGCCUUACG